UGGUACCCAUAGCGUAGUGGAACCACUCCAAUCCAUCCCGAACUUGGUGGUGAAACGCUACUGCGGCGAUGAUACUGAAGGGGCAGCCCUUUGGAAAAGUAGCUCGGUACCAAGGU
rnacentral:rRNA from 1 species